GACGAACGCUGGCGGCGUGCCUAACACAUGCAAGUCGAACGGAGCGAAUGAAAGCUUGCUUUUAUGAGCUUAGUGGCAAACGGGUGAGUAACACGUAGACAACCUGCCGAUAGGAUGGGGACAACAUUCCGAAAGGAAUGCUAAUACCGAAUGGCGUGUAGGGGAGGCAUCUCCCGUACAUGAAAGAUGGCCUCUGAAUAUGCUAUCACCUAUCGAUGGGUCUGCGUCUGAUUAGCUAGUAGGUAAGGUAACGGCUUACCUAGGCGACGAUCAGUAGCCGGUCUGAGAGGAUGAACGGCCACAUUGGGACUGAGACACGGCCCAGACUCCUACGGGAGGCAGCAGUGGGGAAUCUUCCGCAAUGGGCGCAAGCCUGACGGAGCAACGCCGCGUGAGUGAAGAAGGUCUUCGGAUCGUAAAGCUCUGUUGAAGGGGACGAACGUAUAUAGUGCGAAUAGUGCU
rnacentral:rRNA from 1 species